rnacentral:rRNA from 1 species
GAGUUUGAUCCUGGCUCAGGAUGAACGCUGGCGGCGUGCCUAACACAUGCAAGUCGAGCGAAGCAUACAGGAGGAAGUUUUCGGAUGGAAUCCUGCAUGGCUGAGCGGCGGACGGGUGAGUAACGCGUGGGUAACCUGCCUUAUACAGGGGAUAACAGUUAGAAAUGACUGCUAAUACCGCAUAAGCGCACAGUACCGCAUGGUAGUGUGUGAAAAACUCCGGUGGUAUAAGAUGGACCCGCGUCUGACUAGCCAGUUGGCGAGGUAACGGCUCACCAAGGCGACGAUCAGUAGCUGGUCUGAGAGGAUGAUCCGCCACACUGGGACUGGAGACACGGCCCAGACUCCUACGGGAGGCAGCAGU